UGGGGAAUUUUGGACAAUGGGGGAAACCCUGAUCCAGCCAUCCCGCGUGUGCGAUGAAGGCCUUCGGGUUGUAAAGCACUUUUGGCAGGAAAGAAACGUCAUGGGUUAAUACCCCGUGAAACUGACGGUACCUGCAGAAUAAGCACCGGCUAACUACGUGCCAGCAGCCGCGGUAAUACGUAGGGUGCAAGCGUUAAUCGGAAUUACUGGGCGUAAAGCGUGCGCAGGCGGUUCGGAAAGAAAGAUGUGAAAUCCCAGAGCUCAACUUUGGAACUGCAUUUUUAACUACCGGGCUAGAGUGUGUCAGAGGGAGGUGGAAUUCCGCGUGUAGCAGUGAAAUGCGUAGAUAUGCGGAGGAACACCGAUGGCGAAGGCAGCCUCCUGGGAUAACACUGACGCUCAUGCACGAAAGCGUGGGGAGCAAAACAGG
rnacentral:rRNA from 1 species